AGAAAAAAAAGAUCCCCUGAAAUGUAUAUUUCUGUUCAAAUACUCUUGUGAUAUUGCUAAAUGACAUGAAUGACAUAAAUUUUAAGGGUGUGUUUAAGUUAAAUUCUAUGUAAUUAUGUGCUUUAUAUCCUAACCAAGUGUUGUACCCAAAAACUUAAGACAUUCAUCUAAUUAAACAUUAGCUGAGUUAUGGAUUGUAACUUAUAGGUUGAUGCAACUUAGCAUGAUUCCAAUUUUAAAUGAGUCAAAUAAUCUUGUGAUACUGCGAAAAUGACAUCUAUUUAUAUGAGUCACGUGUGCUUUUUGUUUCUCUGCACAUAAGUAUUCCCUCUCACAAGUUUUAUUUUUCUUAUUUCUCUUUAAGGUAAGCAAGGGCUAUAAAUUUUGUUGAUAUUACAACUGAUGUGAUAGUAUUGAUUGCAUUAAAACAUUAAAUAACGAAGAUAAAUUAUGUGUUGUCUUUUGUUUUCAUUUAAUUAUUUUUUUAUUUUUUUCAAGAGGAAAGUAAGUCUUUCAUUAAUGGUGUGUUUACUUGAGGGUUUAGGGAAUGAGAAUUAAACACAUGUUUACUUGAUGAAUGUAAUUUAAUAAUGAGAAUAAAAUGUGUGGAUCCCACAUAUUUUGAGAAUAAGGAAUGAGAAUCUCAUUCCCACGGGGGAUUGGAAAUGAGAAUGAAAGAGUGGAAAUGAAACACAUAUUUACUUUCAUAUCCCUUUAAUUUUUUCAUAUAUUUCUGCAUUAUUCUUGUGCAAAUCACAAU
rnacentral:lncRNA from 1 species